rnacentral:rRNA from 1 species
CAGCAGCCACGGGAAUACGUAGGGUGCAAGCGUUAUCCGGAAUUAUUGGGCGUAAAGAGCUCGUAGGCGGUUUGUCGCGUCUGCUGUGAAAACUGGAGGCUCAACCUCCAGCCUGCAAUGGGUACGGGCAAACUAGAGUGCGGUAGGGGAGAUUGGAAUUCCUGGUGUAGCGGUGGAAUGCGCAGAUAUCAAGAGGAACACCGAUGGCGAAGGCAGAUCUCUGGGCCGUAACUGACGCUGAGGAGCGAAAGCAUGGGGAGCGAACAGGAUUAGAUACCCCCGUAGUCCCUGUCUCUUAUAC